CCUACGGGGGGCAGCAGUGGGGGAUAUUGCACAAUGGGGGGAACUCUGAUGCAGUGACGCCGCGUGGGUGAAGGAGUAUUUCGGUAUGUAAAGCCCUAUCGGCAGGGAAGAAGCAAGACGGUACCUGACUAAGAAGCCCCGGCUAACUACGUGCCAGCAGCCGCGGUAAUACGUAGGGGGCGAGCGUUAUCCGGAUUCACGGGGUUUAAAGGGAGCGUAGACGGCCAUGCAAGCCAGGGGUGAAAGCCCGGGGCCCAACGCCGGGACUGCCCUUGGAACUGCAUGGCUGGAGUGCGGGAGGGGCAGGCGGAAUGCCUGGUGUAGCGGUGAAAUGCGUAGAUAUCAGGAGGAACACCGGCGGCGAAGGCGGCCUGCUGGACCGCGACUGACGUUGAGGCUCGAAAGCGUGGGGAGCGAACAGGAUUAGAUACCCCAGUAGUC
rnacentral:rRNA from 1 species